GGGUUGCAGCUGUGUCCAAUAAGGAUGGGUGUUAUAAAAGAGUGGGUUAGCUCGAGAGAAGGGUCUGUUGUGAGCACAGUUGGAGUCUGCAGGCAGAGUCUGCUUGGGAAGCCUGCAGUUGGAGUGUGCUGACUGUGCUGUGAGGAGGAAGGUCAGGUGGUUGUGUAAGGAGAGAGGAACUGGGGGAAUGUGUUGCAAUGAGCAGCUACAGACUGGAGCCUGAUAUUGAAAUGGGAAUUUCACGAGACUGAAACAGAAUUAUAAUGAGUUAACAGCAAAGACUGGUCUGGAACUAAGUUUUCACUCUAGGCAAAUCAGUAAAAUGUGUUCUACUGUUAAUUUCGGCUUUCAUGAUCACACCUCAGACACACCACAAGGAAGAAACUUGGCUUGUUCUUCAAUUAUCAACAAUUCAUCAUCAAUUGCAGCAGGAUGGGCUUCUGACCUAAUGCAUCUUUUGUGAUAGCUCUUGAUGAAAAUACAGGCAGAGGAAUCGUGAUAAUCUGAAAAGUCUUGCCAGCAUCUGAGAAAUUUCAGUCACAGCCAAAGUCUUCAUUGGUAAAGAAGAAGUUGCUAGCAUUUGUUAAUUAUGCUUGCAUUUUUCUUGAUCAACUUCCCAAAUUCAAGUAAGAUAGAAGUUAAUUUACCUGAUGAAAUGUAUCUGUUUGCAGACUUCAGGAUUUUAUCUAAGAUACAUCUAGACUACAUACUGGGUUCAACUAUUGUGUAUGCAGGUGUUUUAUGUAUAGAAAUGGGAUUUCAGGAGUAAAGGAUCACUUGGGAUGAAGAACACAGAACAGGGAGAGGGUAUGCACUCCUGCCAAGCCCAGUAAUACACAUGCACCUCAGACUUCUUCUGUUUCUGCUUAUGAUGACAAAAUAAAUAGUAAAUAGUAUUGCCUUUCUUCCUGGUAUGAAAUCCAUUAAAAAGACAGACACUUCUUCUUUUCUUUUAUGCUGAAGAAGCUACUUGUAUUGGAAGUGGACCUUAAAGAAUCUAGCUGUAAGAUGUUAUGGAAGUACAUGCUCAGCAAACAUGAAUAAUGAGGAAGAACAUCAGAAAAUAGAGGAGAUAUGGUAAAUGGGACAAGCCAUAUUGUGAAAUGUUUCAUCAGAAACUGAAAUUUUUCAUCUUGUUUCUCUUAAUAUUUUAUUAGUUAGUGACAAACACCGACGAAAUACUGCUGGUGCUCAACCCCUGCCAGAGUGUAAAAUCUAGAAAAGAUCUCCUCUCAAUUCCCAGUCAUUCUGAGUACAGUCUGAGCAUGAAGAUGCAGAUGGCCAGAAUGUGGAGGCAAGAGGGAAGUGUGGGAAAUAGCAAUAGUCCCAGUGAAGAACAUCCUUAUAUUGUAAAACCUUAUUCUGUCAAAAGCCCCAUGCUUUCCUUACAGCUAAUUCAUAUCCUGGUAUUUUAAAGUAACAAGAUUAUUAUUCUUUUAAGAUGCCAAAUCAAAUAUAUAAUUUAGCAGAGGUAUACCUGAUGUAUACCUUCACUCAUCUUUAGUCUGCUCAGGAUGAGACAAGUAGAAGUUCAGGACUAGAUUCAGAUUAGUUGUAUACUAAGUAUACAUGAUGGAAAAAAUUUGUACUAGUUCUCUGAAAUAAAUGUUCUAUUUCUCAUUUAAUUUGCUCACUUUCUUUUGCAAAACCCCUAAAUGAGUAAGGGAUUGUUUGUUGUCAGUUAAUUAAAACUUUCAACUAGCUUAUUUCUUUAUCCUAAAUUUAUUGAAUCACUUGGCUUCUAGUGUAAGAAAGAUUUGAUGAGGUUAAUGUAGCACAGGAAAAUGUACAUUUAGUGUUUUGGCUUGUGCCAAAUUUUAUUUUUGUGUUCUGGUUUUUUAUUUAGUACAAAAGUUGUGAAUAAAGUUGAUCA